rnacentral:rRNA from 1 species
CCCUUAGAUGUCCGGGGCUGCACGCGCGCUACACUGAAGGAAUCAGCGUGCUAAAACCAUUGUCGAAAGGCAUUGGUAAACCCAUUAAAAUCCUACGUGAUUGGGAUCGGGAAUUGCAAUUAUUUCCCUUGAACGAGGAAUUCCCAGUAAGUGUGGGUCAUAAGCUCGCGUUGAUUACGUCCCUGUCCUUUGUACACACCGCCCGUCGCUGCCCGGGACUGAGCCGUUUCGAGAAAAGCGGGGACUGCUGCUGUCGGGGCUUUCGGGCCUUGGCUUCGGUGGAAACCGCUUUAAUCGCAGUGGCUUGAACCGGGCAAAANUCGUANCA